rnacentral:lncRNA from 10 species
UUUCCCCACCCUGCACCUGGUGACCCCCACCCCUGCCCGCAAGAGAUAACCACUUUUAACUGUAAUUGUCCACUACCUACCCAAAUCCUAUAAAACUGCCCCACCCCUAUCUCCCUUUGUUGACUCAUUUUUUGGCCUCAGCCUGCCUGCACCCAGGUGAAAUAAACAGCUUUAUUGCUUACACAAAGCCUGUUUGGUGAUCUCUUCACAUGGACGUGCGUGAAAACUUGGUGCCGAAGACCCAGGACAGGAGGACUGCUUCGGGAGACUGGUCCCCUGUCCUCACCCUCACUCCGUGAGGAGAUCCACCUACGACCUCAGGUCCUCAGACCAACCAACCCAAGGAACAUCUCAUGAAUUUCAAGUCGGGUUUCCUUUACAGAUCAUUGACUGAUCCCCGGGGACAUGACAGACCCCAGUUAUUUAUAUGGUAAUCCCUGCCACGGAAACAAAUGCAGCAAUUCAACCACAAACUCAAUCUGCAUGUGACAUAUACACAAGCCACAAUAAGGCACUGCAUCUCGAAGAGAGCAUCUGGAAUGAAAAAGCUGAUCAAGAUGAUGGGGCGUCACAUCCCCUUUGGUGCACUAGAUCCGUGCUUGGAUCUACUGUAAUAGCCAAAUCUCCAUGGAGGUCUGAGGUGACCCAAUAAGGAUUCAUUUGACCUAUGAAGAAGAUGCUGGUGCUCAUGGAGAGUGUAUUACUUGCCAGCAACAUUGGCCUAUGGCUCAAAGUGAACUAGGCAUAAUAACUUGUUGUCUGACCAAUUCACAAUUGAUAGUUGGUUACAAUGUAUUCUGAUUACCAUGGGCAUGCUAUAGAUAUAUAAGUGGCUGUUGUUCUUUUCCAACAAGCAGAUAGCAUCCAAACUCUUUUUUUUUUUUUUUUUUUUUUUUUUGAGAUGGAGUUUCACUCUUAUGCCCAGGCUGGAGUGCAGUGGCGUGAUCUUAGCUCACUGCAACCUCCGCCUUCUGGUUUCAAGCGAUUCUCCUGCCUCAGCCUCCUGAGUAGCUGGGAUUACGGGCAUGCGCCACCACGCCCAGCUAAUUUUUGUAUUUUUAGUAGAGACGAGGUUUCACCAUGUUGGCCAGGCUGGUCUCAAACUCCUGACCUCGUGAUCCAGCCGCCUCGGCCUCCCAAAGUGCUGGGAUUACAGGCAUGAGCCACCACGCCUGGCCGAUAGCACCCAAACUCUUAAGACUGUGAUGAUUAUCUUUGUCAUGUGUUAGAGUUUCCUGGUAUGACACAAGCUGACAAUAGAAUGCUGUUUACAGCUUUGGGCCCUGAAUUCCAUUUCAACAUGGAAUUCUCCUUUCCACUUGCAGGUGGCGGGUAGAAUCAAGCUUUAGUAUGGCUGGUUACGGGAGCAGCUAUAUCAGCCACUACUUCAUCAUUCUUUGCAGGCACAUGGGAUGGGGAAGAGUCUACUCAAUGUGCCAGGACCCCAGAAUCUCUGUCCCUAACUGCCCCUUCUUUUUUGAGCAAGAACUUUGACCAUUGGCUGGUAAGUUCACAUUGCUCUAGUUGAGGCUAACUGGGUGGACAUGACUUUGGGUCUUUUUUUUUCCUUUUUUUUUGUUUGUUUGUUUUCAGACGAAGUCUCGCUCUUGUCCCCCAAGCUGGAGUGCAAUGGCGCGAUCUCGGCUCACUGCAACCUCCGCCUCCCGGGUUCAAGCAAUUCUCCUGCCUCAGCCUCCCGAUUACAGGUGCCUGCUGGGAUUACAGGCGCCUGCUACCACGCCUGGCUAAUUUUUGUAUUCUUUUUAAGUAGAGACAGGGUUUCAUCAUUUUGGCCAGGCUGGUCUCGGCCUCCUGACCUCAGGUGAUCCGCCCACCUCAGCCUCCCAAAGUGCUGGGAUUACAAGCGUGAGCCACCACGACUGGCCUUUUUUUCCUUUUUUGAAGGGCACUUGAUGGACACACACCCUGGGCAGGCAACUCUGACACUGCCUUUACCUAGAGGAAGGCAGUGUUCCUACCAUCCAUCUCCUCUGCAAAUGGAGAACAUUGCUGUGGUCACUAUGCCUGUGCAACAGGUUCCUUCUGCUCUGCAACCACCAUCCUCAGUCUCAAGGGAUUGCCUUUGAGGGCAGAAUAGUGACUGCUGGGUUCCUGUGAGGUCAAUGCUCUAAGAAAAAGUACAGAUCGUUUGGCUGAUUCUGGGGACAUGACAAGCCUCAGCUGAUGUAGCAAGAACAUACGCAAGCGAUAUCAGGAAACAGAUCAGGGUCGAAGAGUAAAUAACCUCUCACCUGCUCUUCCAGGUUCAGACAGAAAAAGCUUCAACAGCCUCUAGCAGCUGCCUAGGCCAGGCUCCAUUCCACAAACCUACAGUAUUGAACGUAUCACCACCACUACCCCUGUCCUCCAUACCCAGCUAUGGGAGACCUUGUUGGUGUCUCCCUCUCUGACCAUGGCAAGGGAAUUGCUCCUAGCUGGCCAUUGCCAAAAACUGCUGUGCUUUAGGGUGUGAAAGGAAAAUAAAUCUUGGGAUCCCAAAACUACUAAGCCAAAGGAAAAAGUCAAGCUGGGAACUGUUAGGCAAACCCACCUCUCAUUCUAUUCCUACAAAGAUUAAAAAGCUACAUAUGGCCAGGCACAGUGGCUCACACCUAUAAUCCCAGCCCUUUGCAAGGCUGAGGCAGGUGGAUCACCUGAGGUCAGGAGUUCGAGACCAGCCUGGCCAACAUGGUGAAACCCCGUCUCUACUAAAAAUACAAAAAUUAGCCGGACGUGGUGGCGGGCACCUGUAAUCCCAGCUACUUGGGAGGCUGAGGCAGGGAGAAUUGCUUGAACCUGGUAGGUGAAGUGAGCCAAGAUCAUGCCAGGGCACUCCAGCCUGGGCAAGAGAGGGAGACUCUGUCUCAAACAAAUAAAAAAAAAACAAAACUGCCUACCUCUCUCACAAUUUGCCCACAAGGAAAUUCCUUGUGAAUAAAGGACAAACAGAACUCAAAGUCAUCCCUCUGCUCACAUGAGACAAAUGCAUAUCUGAUUGCUUCCUUUGCCCUAUUGUUUCACUAAGCCAGACUAAGGCAUAAGUGACUAUACCUCUAUGCUCCUCUCAUGAGUUAAUUGUAUAUUCAGUGAAAGGCUAAUCAGAAACUCAAAAGAAUGCAAUCGUUUGUCUCUUACCUACCUAUGACCUGGAAGCCCCCUCCCCGCUUCGAGUUGUCCUGCCUUUCUGGACUGAACCAACAUACAUCUUACAUAAUCGAUUAAUAUCUCAUGUCUCCCUAAAAUGUAUAAAACCAAGCUGCGCCCCGACCACGUUGGGCACAUGUUGUCAGGACCUCCUGAGGCUGUGUCAUGGGUGCGUCCUUAACCUUGGC